rnacentral:rRNA from 1 species
UACAGAGGGGGCAAGCGUUAUUCGGAAUUAUUGGGCGUAAAGGGCGCGUAGGCGGCCUUGCAAGUGACGGGUGAAAUCCCUCGGCUUAACCGAGGAACUGCCUGUCAAACUGCAUGGCUUGAGACCGGGAGAGGUGAGUGGAAUUCCCAGUGUAGCGGUGAAAUGCGUAGAUAUUGGGAGGAACACCAGUGGCGAAGGCGGCUCACUGGACCGGUACUGACGCUGAGGCGCGAAAGCGUGGGUAGCAAACAGG